rnacentral:rRNA from 1 species
UACGUAGGUGGCAAGCGUUGUCCGGAUUUACUGGGCGUAAAGAGCGCGCAGGCGGCUGGACAAGUCCGAUGUGAAAGCUUCCAGCUUAACUGGAAAAUUGCAUCGGAAACUGCUCGGCUUGAAGGUGGGAGAGGGUAGCGGAAUUCCCGGUGUAGUGGUGAAAUGCGUAGAUAUCAGGAGGGAACACCCCGUGGCGAAGGCGGCCUCUGGGGCAUUCCUGGACA